rnacentral:rRNA from 1 species
GACGAACGCUGGCGGCGUGCUUAACACAUGCAAGUCGAACGCUGAAGCUUGGUGCUUGCACUGGGUGGAUGAGUGGCGAACGGGUGAGUAAUACGUGAGUAACCUGCCCUUGACUCUGGGAUAAGCCUGGGAAACUGGGUCUAAUACUGGAUAUGACAUGCCACUGCAUGGUGGUGUGUGGAAAGGGUUUUACUGGUUUUGGAUGGGCUCACGGCCUAUCAGCUUGUUGGUGGGGUAAUGGCCUACCAAGGCGACGACGGGUAGCCGGCCUGAGAGGGUGACCGGCCACCCUGGGCCUGAGACACGGCCCAGACUCCUACGGGAGGCAGCAGUGGGGAAUAUUGCACAAUGGGCGGAAGCCUGAUGCAGCGACGCCGCGUGAGGGAUGACGGCCUUCGGGUUGUAAACCUCUUUCAGCACGGAAGAAGCGAGAGUGACGGUACGUGCAGAAGAAGCGCCGGCUAACUACGUG